rnacentral:lncRNA from 1 species
AAUGCAUCUUAGUUAUUUGUCUUUAAAUUCGGUUUAGAUUUACUAUUAUUGUCAGUUUGCUACUAGUCAUUUGUAAUAAAUGCCUCAAGAUUAAUAAAGAUUAUUAUUACUAUUAUUAUGUCUUGUGUGUCUCUACUUUAUUCUUGUGCAAGAAAGGAGAAAACAAGUAUGGGGGAGAUCCCUCGACAUGCCAAACACACUACGACUACACCACUCCACGAUUCAGGUACACACUCUGCACACUUUACACAUACACAUAUCUUCGAUUAUGUAGAAUAUUGUCUCCGACAUGAUAAAUUAAAAAGAUUAAAAUGUUUCUAAUCAUGAUUAAUCUCAUUCUGUGAUAUUUCCUGAAAACCUGCAAUCAUUGAAAAAUCAUUUGAAAACCCUGUGUUACUUAAGUCAUUGUGGAAUGUGAGAUGGAAGAGUAUGAGUUUCUUAUUCUUGAUAUCAAUGCUGCUUGGAGAAUUUAUUUUAAAAUCUUCAAAAUUCUAGCUACCAUCCUCAGUGUUUUAUAUGUCUGAUAAAACUAAAAAUAUUAAUUAUGAUUAUAAAAGCUAUCUACUCUGUAUUGAGUUUGAUCAAAAUGAGUUAGACCCUUGUUGAGAGAUUUAUCAUGCUCCUAAGAUCAAGACAUUUAUUCACAAAGAUUCACUCUUCCGAAGUAUUAUUGCAUUAGAGGCAUGGGCUAUGCAAAAAUAUAAUUUGAGGAAAUAAAAAGGAGCAAGUGCUCGAUAACCUCGCAGAAAAAAUAGACAAGUGUCCGGCAGUAGAAUUAGGGGUACCUCGGUAUCCACUUAAAAAAAGAAGAAAAAAAGAGAGAAGAAUAAAAUGAUAGCCCAUGGUCCCUCUAAUAAGCAAUAUGCCAGCAAGAGUUGACAAGUUUUUAAUUUCCAAAGUCUUUGAUCUAAGAGUAUGGCAUUCUUCUCCUUGGAAACCGUUUUUAUCAGACAAUAAAUGCAAAGUAAGUAUGCUUGAGAAUUUUUGCAAAUUAAGACAGCCUCAGUGAGAUAUAAAAGAAAAUGAGUGACCUGAGAGAACCUAUGAGGAUAAAGGUAUGCUAAAUUUCUUUUCAAAAAUAUACAAAAACUCCAAGUGACGGGAUUGAGAAGAAAGGAUCUCUACUCUUAACCAUAUAUUUCCCUGACUACAAUACACAGUGAAUUUUUACAACACCCUAUAGGUAUGAAGAAAAUGCUUUACAAUAUUUUAACCCCAGAUAUUUUUCUUAACCAUCCUUUU